rnacentral:tRNA from 1 species
GAUGCGGUAGCCAAGUGGUAAGGCGUCUCUCCGCAAGGGAGAAAUCGGGGGUUCAAUUCCUUCUCGCAUCU